UACGUAGGGUGCAAGCGUUAAUCGGAAUUACUGGGCGUAAAGCGUGCGCAGGCGGUUCUAUAAGACAGAUGUGAAAUCCCCGGGCUCAACCUGGGAACUGCAUUUGUGACUGUAGAGCUGGAGUACGGCAGAGGGGGAUGGAAUUCCGCGUGUAGCAGUGAAAUGCGUAGAGAUUGGGAAGAACACCGGUGGCGAAGGCGGCCAACUGGACC
rnacentral:rRNA from 1 species